rnacentral:rRNA from 1 species
CCAGACUCCUACGGGAGGCAGCAGUGGGGGAUAUUGCACAAUGGGGGAAACCCUGAUGCAGCGACGCCGCGUGGGCGAAGAAGUAUUUCGGUAUGUAAAGCCCUAUCAGCAGGGAAGAAGAAAUGACGGUACCUGAGUAAGAAGCACCGGCUAAAUACGUGCCAGCAGCCGCGGUAAUACGUAUAGUGCAAGCGUUAUCCGGAUUCACUGGGUGUAAAGGGAGCGUAGACGGCCAAGCAAGCCAGGGGUGAAAGCCCGGGGCCCAACCCCGGGACUGCCCUUGGAACUGCACGGCUGGAGUGCGGGAGGGGCAGGCGGAAUUCCUGGUGUAGCGGUGAAAUGCGUAGAUAUCAGGAGGAACACCGGCGGCGAAGGCGGCCUGCUGGACCGCGACUGACGUUGAGGCUCGAAAGCGUGGGGAGCGAACAGGAUUAGAUACCCCCGUA